rnacentral:rRNA from 1 species
UGGGGAAUCUUGCGCAAUGGGCGAAAGCCUGACGCAGCAACGCCGCGUGCGGGAUGAAGGCCUUCGGGUUGUAAACCGCUUUCAGCAGGGAUGAAAACAGACAGUACCUGCAGAAGAAGCCCCGGCUAACUACGUGCCAGCAGCCGCGGUAAUACGUAGGGGGCAAGCGUUAUCCGGAUUCAUUGGGCGUAAAGCGCGCGUAGGCGGGCUGUUAAGCGAGAUGUGAAAACUGGGGGCUCAACCCGCAGCCUGCAUCUCGAACUGGCAGCCUUGAGUCUGGUAGAGGAAAGUGGAAUUCCCAGUGUAGCGGUGAAAUGCGCAGAUAUUGGGAGGAACACCAGUGGCGAAGGCGGCUUUCUGGGCCACGACUGACGCUGAGGCGCGAAAGCUAGGGGAGCGAACAGGAUUAGAUACCCUGGUAGUCCUAGCCGUAAACGAUGGGCACUAGGUGUGGGGGGUAUGACUCCCUCCGUGCCGCAGCUAACGCAUUAAGUGCCCCGCCUGGGGAGUACGGCCGCAAGGCUA